AGAGGCAUGAGCAGCAAAAACAUUACUGCUGAAGAACACCAUCAUGCACAUUUCAUGAAAGGGGACCCCAGUAUUCACCUUUGAACAACAUUUGAAUUCCUUUGAAAGACUGAUAAGAGCGCUGGUCAGGAUUCUUAAAAAAAUGCACAGCUGUAAUUUGUUUUUAGACAAUUUCAGACAGUUCAUGGACAGUUCAUGUCCACGUUUAGUGGACUGCGAGUUCAAAUCUCUGUGAACUUUAAGGCCACAGAGUCUUCUUCUGGUCAUCUGUGUGCCAGAUGGCCCACAGGCCGCAUCUCCACCCCUGACUUCCCUCCUGAGCGUGACAUCGGCAGUCCAAGCACAAAGCAAGCCUGUGUGUGCACAGUCAGAAGGUGCUGCUGACAGACACUUCUCAAGGCCAAGAUGACUUAGGUCUGACUCUCAGCGAUAGUGGAGAGCAGACGUUUAAUGCUUAAUAAAUAUUUUAUGAAUAAUU